UCGAGAAUCAUUCACAAUGGGGGCAACCCUGAUGGUGCAACGCCGCGUGGAGGAAGAAGGUCUUCGGAUUGUAAACUCCUGUCAUCUAGGAGCAAGGCAUGGUGGUGAAUAGCUAACAUGAUUGAUAGUACUAGAAGAGGAAGGGACGGCUAACUUCGUGCCAGCAGCCGCGGUAAUACGAAGGUCCCGAGCGUUAUUCGGAAUCACUGGGCGUAAAGGGAGCGUAGGCGGCGUGGAAAGUCAGAUGUG
rnacentral:rRNA from 1 species